rnacentral:rRNA from 1 species
UGCGUAGGCGGGUUUCUAAGUCAGAGGUGAAAGCCUGGAGCUCAACUCCAGAACUGCCUUUGAUACUGGAAGUCUUGAGUUCGGGAGAGGUGAGUGGAACCGCGAGUGUAGAGGUGAAAUUCGUAGAUAUUCGCAAGAACACCAGUGGCGAAGGCGGCUCACUGGCCCGAUACUGACGCUGAGGCACGAAAGCGUGGGAGCAAACA